GUGUGAGGGUAAAUCUGGCCCCCGUUCCUCCAUCUUGGCUGGAAGUGGAAGUCCCGGUGGAUAUUUUUGAGCCCCUGAUGUAUGCCAGGCACUGCUGUAAGCACUGAGUAUUCAAAGAUGAACAAAAUGAUGUGGCCCCAGUCUCCUAAAAUUUACUAUCAAGAGAAGAAGACAACAGAGAUGGGGUCCUGCUAUGUUGCCUAGGAUCAUCUUGAACACAUGGCCUCAAGUGAUCCUCCUGCCUCGGCCUCCCAAAGUGCUGGAAUUACAGGCAUGAGUUACUGUGCCCGGCCUGUUUAUUUACUUAAAAUGCAUGAACAGAACAAGUUACUUCUCCAGAUUGGAAUAAAAUAGAGAAUGAAUUGUUUCUCCAGCUUGGGGUAAAAGAUAUCCCUAAUAUUUUAAUUUUUGUAAUUAGCUACCCCUCAUACUUAUGUUAACAACGAGUCCAAUAUCCUCCCUCUUCAGAGCUCCGACCUCUCUGAAGAUUAUACGUGAACGUGAACCCCAGGGUAAGACUUUAAGCUCUGAUCAAAGGGGAUACUUUGACUUUCAAAUACAGGCAAAGAGAGAAUUAAUGAUUUGGAAACUAGCUCACCUGGUGGCUUGGAACAGCUUUUGUUGGCUUCUGAGUAUCCUGCCUGCCUGCAGUGCGGGCCCCCUCCAUCACUCUAGCCUCUGCCUUCUGUUCAGUGAUGAUUUCCAGUGCUGGUCUAACCAGCCUUUCUUCACUUAACCCUGGGGCCUGGUGUUGAGGCUCUGCCACUGGUUCAGCGGUCCUCAUGGUGACAUGAUUCCUUGCUUUGUAGCCUUGGUGUCCGUUUCCCAAGACUCACAAUCCCAAUGCAUCCUGGAGGUACUAGCAUCACCACCACCAUUAUCAUCAUCAUCACCAGAGGAAGGAUUGCUCUUCAUUUCUCUCUUCCCAAAAUGCUUCUGGUCCUCUUGACAAAUUUGCCCCUGUCCUCCCCAUGUCCUUCUAGUACCCUUGCCAGGUCAAGGAUAUCAGAAGGGGCAGCACCUGCCAGGUCACAGGGGUCCCAUUAUUUCCCCCAGAGGAUAUUGGGCGCCUGUGAGCCUGAAACCUGCCCACCUAGGACUUUGGGGAAGAGGCUAAGUGGUUCUUCCCUAUAAGUCUUUUUGUGUCUACCUGGCCAGAGUAACAAACUCAGAUUCUCUUACAGAAACAUCCUAAGAAACAACUUACCAGGCACUCUGGUAUGAAAGUAGUGCCCGUUCGUUAUUGCUGAUUUAAGAAAUAUAGGUAAACAAUAAGAGAAUAAACAAUGAGAGAAAAUUAAGCCACUCGUUCACUCUUUAUUCUACCAUGUGGAGGCAGCCAGUGUCAACUUUUGUUAUGUAUGAUUUCAAUCUCUUUUCCAUUUACCUAC
rnacentral:lncRNA from 10 species